rnacentral:tRNA from 1 species
GACUGAUGUCAGGUAAGGAAAGUCACCCUUGGUAAGGGUGAGGUCGGUGGUUCAAUCCCACUCGGCAGCACCA